GAUGAACACUGGCGGCGUGCCUAAUACGUGCAAGUCGAGCGAACAGACGAGGAGCUUGCUCCUCUGACGUUAGCGGCGGACGGGUGAGUAACACGUGGAUAACCUACCUAUAAGACUGGGAUAACUUCGGGAAACCGGAGCUAAUACCGGAUAAUAUAUUGAACCGCAUGGUUCAAUAGUGAAAGACGGUUUUGCUGUCACUUAUAGAUGGAUCCGCGCCGCAUUAGCUAGUUGGUAAGGUAACGGCUUACCAAGGCAACGAUGCGUAGCCGACCUGAGAGGGUGAUCGGCCACACUGGAACUGAGACACGGUCCAGACUCCUACGGGAGGCAGCAGUAGGGAAUCUUCCGCAAUGGGCGAAAGCCUGAUGGAGCAACGCCGCGUGAGUGAUGAAGGUCUUCGGAUCGUAAAACUCUGUUAUUAGGGAAGAACAAAUGUGUAAGUAACUAUGCACGUCUUGACGGUACCUAAUCAGAAAGCCACGGCUAACUACGUG
rnacentral:rRNA from 1 species